rnacentral:lncRNA from 1 species
GGCCGUUAGUUUUCUUGUUUGAAUUGUUUUGCAUUGUUAUUUCGGGCCCUUUUAUAGCUUACUAUGUGGUAUGGGCUUUGCUCAUUGUUGAAGGCCGUACGGUGACUUAUAGUUUUUAAUUUCUGUGUUAUUUUGGUCUCUUGUGGAGAGUUGUCUCAUUGACAAUCAUACCACAUCUUCUUUUUUAUAUUUAUAUGAGUAUAUUAAAUAUACAUGUAUAUACCAAGCUAAGUCAGUUUAUAUCUUGUUUCUCGUCUGACUAUACAAAAGGCUAGGAGAGCUACUUUGAUAGAUCAGGUUGACUGAUAAGCUGUCUAUAUAAAGUAAUGGGACAAUGCAUGACAUGAAGACAUCACCAAAUCACCGUACAUGUAUGUAAUACUCAAAAAGACAUCCAGAGCUUACCAUAGUCAUCAACUACCCACCAACAGGCCGUGAGCUCUGGUUGGCUCUUAAUUCAAAUCCAAGAGCACAGCAAAAUGUCAAAAUAUUCUAUUCAAACUGGGUGACCUGGGAGAAAAACAUUGAAACUUUCCAAAGAAAUACAACCCCCCCUCCUCAACUUUUUAAUAAGGAGAUAUGGUAUUAUUGCAAAUGAGUCAACUAUCCCACAAAGUUCAAAUGUAGUGGAUGUAAGCAGUUAUAUACAAGCAACCAUAUAACCUUCAACAAUGAGAAAAAAAACAUACGGUAUUGUCGGCUACAAUAGUCCAUGAAAUGAAAAAUAUGAAACAGUUCAAUUGAGAAAAAUAACGGCCUAUUUUAAAACAACAUAAAUUACGAAAAACAAAUAUGAAGACAUCAACAAACGACAACCACUGAACUACAUGCUCCUGGGUUGGAACAGGCACAUGCAAUAUAUGGCGGAGUUUAACAUGUUUGUGAGCGCUCAAUCCUCCCCUGAACCUGAAACAGUUUGUUACAGCACAGCAUAAGAACAAACUAUACAAAUCAUCGGAAAAGGGCUUAACGCAUGAGAUCGAUACAAAACAGAUGAAAAAAAAAACAUCUAACAAAAACACAUACCGAAUGUGGCAGGGUAUUUAUACAUCGUUUUCAAACAAUCAAAGUACUGAAGUACUGAACAUCGAAUGACUGCAAGUUCUUUUGGAUUGUCACAAGCACUUGUUUCAGAAAAAAAUAUCACAUCUCUAUACCUGAAAGUGAGGUUAAUAUACAGAUAAAAUUUUCUUUCUGAGACAAGUUCUUGCGUGUAUGGUGAAUAAAUGACAGGG